GUCACGCGAUCUUUUUUCGCAAUUUCGAGAAAAUGCAUGCCGCACCCGGCGAUGCACUUCAUGAUCGAAUACACGCACGAUAUGCAACGACGUGCCUGGCAGCGUUUGCGAAAUUAUUAUUUUAUGCAGAACACCGGAUUCGCGGAUAUGUACAUAAACGCAGCCGAAAGCUGCGAUUUAUGAAUUAAACAUCGAAUGCUAAUCGAGGAACCGAACGCGAUCCGAUCUAAUCGCGUGCAUCGAUGCAGUUAGCUGUGUUUGCUUUCGAAUAAUCGUUAUUAGCGUACAUAAUUUUCAUUUUUCUUUCCUUUUCCUUUUGCGUCGCAUAGAAUCACGUGAAAAUGUCAUUAUCAUAAGAUACGGCCACGUGCCAGAGAAAUGAGUAAUUAUAAUGGAGAAUCAGCGUUUUAUGCGUCUUCUGCGUUCUACGCGAACGAUAUUCUCUGCGUGCGCGGAAUACAUGAAUGAAAGAACGAAUAAGCGCUACGCAUAUCGCAUGUGAAUCGGUAUGGACAAUGGAAUAGGAUUCCCCAAGUUCAAAAACGCUCAAACACGUGCGUCAUUUCGUCAGCACGUGUAGAAUCUCAAAUCGAGGAAAUAAUCGUGAAGAAACGGAAUUAUCUGGAUAUAGAAUCUGUCUAUCUGCUUGAUCUCUUCGUAGAAGAAUAAAUCUAGAUCUUUAGAACUUCGUGAAACUGAAAUUUAUGGAUCAUAAAUUCAAAAUUCCAAGAUCUGUAAUGCAAAAUUACAAGACAGAUCGUAUACUUGAAUUCUAAAUGUUUAGAAAAUUCCGAAAGAACAAAAACAACAGAUUCAAAUGAUAUAAAAAUGUGGAAAAAAAAACUAAGAGUGCAUUAAACAUAGAUUAAUCAUAAAUUCGGAAGUCUGUUAUAAAAAUCGAAGUUUGAAUCGCUAAGAUAAAGUUUAACGCGUUGAGCAUGUUAAUACUCUUAGAUUGUUAUUCCAAUUCAAGUAUUCAUAUGACGUAUUGUGAAUAAUCACGAUAGAGUAUUACAUAUUCUUCUUAUUAAAAGCAAUCGUUGUGCAACCAAGUGCGGGGAGAUUCAUCAUCAAAAAGCACCGCGGAUUCAUCACUAUGUAUUUUUCUGAGCGGUAGGGCGAUAGGUUGGCGGUAUAUAAAACAGCAGUAAGCACCCAGCAUCUCACCACUGCGGUAGUGUUCACUUGUCACAGCGAUUACAAUUAGAUCAUCUCAGUUUAAAAAAACAUCCAGAGUUCGCAGAUGUGAAAAUGAAGCUAAUCUUCCUGCUGCUGCUGUUGGUUAGUUCCGCUAUUUGCGCACCCUGGCUCGACCUAUGGUUUCCUUCGUACGAUAGUCGAAACAACGGAUACAAUGCAAACGGACCAAACCAGCAAUACCGUCAAAACAGAGGCGGUAAGGAGCGCUGGAAGCAGAUCUGCAGGACGAUUAAUCCUGAUCCUUACGCGUUCGCAGGACGCGCGCCUUAUCCCGCCGCGCCCGUCUGUCCCUGGUAAAGAAAGCUCCCCGGUUUGUCGUGCCAAAUGUAAAGAUAUCAUGCGUUAAAAAUAUGAAUUUAUUGUAACAACGUAGCUGUCGACGAUAUACGUUCACUGAUUAUGAGUAUUUCAGUCAGUGUUUGAUGUAUGAUCAUAUGUGUUCUUUCAUGUACAUGUGUGUAUCAGUGUGUAUGUGUGAGAAUAUUUUAUAGCAACUAAUAUACAUAAAUACUCGCGAUUACACUGCAGCUACUACUGUACGCCAUAUAAAGUACAAAGCGAGGAAAUAAUUGUCUAUGUGUCACAUCGCUCGUACACGAAUCUUGCAUGCCUCAUUUCUCAGUCCAUACUCGCACCCAUGUUAAAUUUAAAAAAAAAAAAAGAAAAAGAAAAACCUAUAAAACUUAGCUGAGAGCAACUUGGCAUCAGAGUAAAGGAAAAUUGUUCGAGGUACAGUUAGUCCGUGAAAAUGAAGUUUAUGAAUCAUUUUCUUGAACACUUUAUGAUUGCAAAAACGUUCUACUGUGCUGCAAAGUUACUUCGUGGUUUGCGUAACUUCUCUUUUUAGAUUUACGGUGCGCUUAUGAACCCGCUAAGCAUCCGCGGAUACUCAGAUAUCUCGAAGGCCUGUCUAUCGAUUUGCGUAUUAGACAGAUGUCUAUUUUACAGAAUCAACAAUUCCAAAACUAUUACAUUUGUCUAAUACAUCGGUAAUACUCUGAAGCUCUCUCUUCUUUUACGUACAAAAAUAAACUAUAUACACUAUUACACGAUAAUGUGAAUUUGGAUUUUCUUAAGAAAAAUGCACGCCUCCAUGACGCAACCAUCGGUAAUCGUUAAAUAUCGCGUAUAUUACAUGCUCUAUGUACAGUCCGGGAUCACAGAAUUAGUACAGCACGGCGUCGUGCGUACGUCGAUGUUUGUGGUUCAAGAAAAAAGCGAGAGCUCCUAACGUCAUUCAAGAAAACUGAACAACAUAAAUAUAACUUGAAUUGAAAUAAUAAUUAUUAAUUGAAA